rnacentral:hammerhead_ribozyme from 1 species
AUUCAGCUGAUGGGUCCCAAAUAGGACGCAACAAUCGUUCUGGAU